UGGAAAGAAGAAAGAAUAUUAAUAAAAACAUAAAGCUGAAAGCAACCACCAUGUAUAUUUUGGCUUGCACGCAGAAGAAAAAACUCAGGAAUGUUUUUCAAUGGGCUCGAUAGUCCAUUUUACAAACGGUCAAAGACAGUUCCAUAAUUUGAAAAAGUAAAGAGCUUGUAAAGGGAAUUAAUUAUUCCAAAUAGAAGAUCAUGGAUCAGGUUAUGUAUUAGUUUACCAAAGUUCGAUCUGUGCCAUUAAAGAUUCCCGCACCACCAGAAGCGAAGCUGACACCAGUCAUAAAGGAGGAGGUAUUCUGUGGCGAGACGGAUAGGUAUGGCGGUGAAGUAGCUUUCUUUGUAGGAAAAUCGAUGCCGUUGUGAGGGAAAUCUGCUUUGGCAACCGACACUGGGAGGUAAUUGUUGUUGCCCACGUCUACCAGGGAGUCACCAAAAACAAAAAUGGCUGGCACCAUUUGAGCGUUGGCGAAUUUGAGGCUCAAGAUAAGGGCAAAACCAACCAAGAAACUUGGAAGAAAUGACUUGUUGCCCAUUUUCCUAGAUAUGAACAAAAGCACACUUCCCAAGAGUGUAUAUAUAGAUACAUAAAUGUCUUGGAACGAUCUCUUGGUAUUGCUGUAGCUAGAUAUUAUUACGAUGAGAUGAAAGGAUUGCGGGUC